UACGUAGGGUCCGAGCGUUGUCCGGAAUUAUUGGGCGUAAAGGGCUCGUAGGCGGUUCGUCACGUCGGGUGUGAAAACUCGGAGCUUAACUCCGAGCCUGCUUCCGAUACGGGCAGACUAGAGGUAGGCAGGGGAGAGCGGAACUCCUGGUGUAGCGGUGGAAUGCGUAGAGAUCAGCAGGAACACCCGUGGCGAAGGCGGCCCCCUGGGCCGUACCUGACGCUGAGGCGCGAAGGCUAGGGGAGCGAACGGG
rnacentral:rRNA from 1 species